rnacentral:lncRNA from 1 species
GAAAAACCACAAUUAUCACCGACCAAACCUGAAGAAAGUUUCAGCUAGAUUCAGUAGGAACUUUACAAUUCUUCAAAUGAUCCAGAGAAUUUAACACGAAAAACCCACUCUUAAACUUUCCUAUCUCGAGACAGUUUUUUAAUCUAUUACGUGAAUUGCAGUAGCGCUAUUUAAAAUAAAACCCUCUUGAUAAUAAUACAGAAUAGAAGUGUUAUUUGUAAUUGAAAUGUGAUUAAGGUUGGGCUUCUCUAAAGGAGGAAUGGUUGUAGGCUCUCGAAGAUUUCCUCAUUUUGAGCAUAGAGCUGCUCGUAGAUCUCACUAUAAUUAAUAUCGCCCUUCCGGCCGCCAUAUUCAUCUGGUAGGACAUCGGGAUCAAUAAAACCAUGAAGAGAAUCGCGAUUGUUGAAAUGGAACUUCACCUAAAACCAUAUUUAUCCUCGUAAAUUAAUCCAACAAAAUAUCGAAUCAAUAUUGAUUUUUUUAUCUGCACAAUUUCAAGAGUGUUUUUUAUUGUUCUUGGUCGAUAAGAAAGUUUAUUGGUGUUAAUUAGAUCACUUUAUAAACAC